rnacentral:rRNA from 1 species
UACGUAGGCAGCGAGCGUUGUUCGGAAUUACUGGGCGUAAAGAGCGUGUAGGCGGUCAGGUAGGUCCGUUGUGAAAACUCGAGCUCAACCUCGAGACGCCGAUGGAAACCAUCUGACUAGAGUCCGAAAGAGGAGAGUGGAAUUCCUGGUGUAGCGGUGAAAUGCGCAGAUAUCAGGAAGAACACCCGUGGCUAAGGCGGCUCUCUAGUACGGUACUGACGCUGAGACGCGAAAGCGUGGGGAGCGAACAGG